AUACGUAGGUGACAAGCGUUAUCCGGAUUUACUGGGCGUAAAGGGCGUGUAGGCGGUCUUGCAAGUCAGAAGUGAAAUUCCUGAGCUCAACUCGGGCGCUGCUUCUGAAACUGCAGGACUUGAGUGCUGGAGGGGAUAGCGGAAUUCCUAGUGGAGCGGUAAAAUGCGCAGAUAUUAGGAAGAACACCGGUGGCGAAGGCGGCUAUCUGGACAGUAACUGACGCUGAGGCGCGAAAGCGUGGGGAGCAAACAGGAUUAGAUACCCUGGUAGUCCACGCUAUAAACGAUGAGUGCUAGGUGUCGGGGGUCAAACCUCGGUGCCGCAGUUAACACAUUAAGCACUCCGCCUGGGGAGUACGGCCGCAAGGCUGAAACUCAAAGGAAUUGACGGGG
rnacentral:rRNA from 1 species